rnacentral:rRNA from 1 species
GAGCGGGCGUAGCAAUACGUCAGCGGCAGACGGGUGAGUAACGCGUGGGAACGUACCUUUUGGUUCGGAACAACCCAGGGAAACUUGGGCUAAUACCGGAUAAGCCCUUACGGGGAAAGAUUUAUCGCCGAAAGAUCGGCCCGCGUCUGAUUAGCUAGUUGGUGAGGUAACGGCUCACCAAGGCGACGAUCAGUAGCUGGUCUGAGAGGAUGAUCAGCCACAUUGGGACUGAGACACGGCCCAAACUCCUACGGGAGGCAGCAGUGGGGAAUAUUGGACAAUGGGCGCAAGCCUGAUCCAGCCAUGCCGCGUGAGUGAUGAAGGCCCUAGGGUUGUAAAGCUCUUUUGUGCGGGAAGAUAAUGACGGUACCGCAAGAAUAAGCCCCGGCUAACUUCGUG